AUGCAAUCUGAUUGGGGUGGGGAAUACGAGAAGCUCAAUUCUUUUUUUCAGAAGAUUGGCAUUUCCCAUCAUGUCUCAUGCCCCCAUGCGCACCAGCAAAAUGGGUCAGCCGAACGCAAGCACCGCCACAUCAUUGAAGUAGGACUAGCUCUCCUUGCUUCCGCCUCCAUGCCACUAAAAUUUUGGGAUGAAGCGUUUCUUACCGCUGUGCAUCUGAUCAACAUGUGGCCUAGUCGUGUCAUCUCUAAUGAGACCCCCACUGAGCGUCUUUUGCAUAUCACACCGGACUACACCACUCUUUGA
rnacentral:rRNA from 1 species